rnacentral:rRNA from 1 species
CCUACGGGUGGCAGCAGUGAGGAAUAUUGGUCAAUGGGCGAGAGCCUGAACCAGCCAAGUCGCGUGAAGGAUGACGGCCCUACGGGUUGUAAACUUCUUUUGUCAGGGAGCAAUUGGGUCCACGCGUGGGCUUAGCGAGAGUACCUGAAGAAAAAGCAUCGGCUAACUCCGUGCCAGCAGCCGCGGUAAUACGGAGGAUGCGAGCGUUAUCCGGAUUUAUGGGGUUUAAAGGGUGCGUAGGCGGAAGAUCAAGUCAUCGGUAAAAUUUCGGGGCCCAACCCCGUCGUGCCGUUGAAACUGAUGUUCUUGAGUGGGCGAGAAGUAUGCGGAAUGCGUGGUGUAGCGGUGAAAUGCAUAGAUAUCACGCAGAACUCCGAUUGCGAAGGCAGCAUACCGGCGCCCAACUGACGCUGAAGCACGAAAGCGUGGGUAUCGAACAGGAUUAGAUACCCGAGUAGUC